rnacentral:rRNA from 1 species
AUUGAACACUGGCGGCAGGCUUAACACAUGCAAGUCGAGCGGAGAUGAGGUGCUUGCACCUUAUCUUAGCGGCGGACGGGUGAGUAAUGCUUAGGAAUCUGCCUAUUAGUGGGGGACAACAUUCCGAAAGGAAUGCUAAUACCGCAUACGUCCUACGGGAGAAAGCAGGGGAUCUUCGGACCUCGCGCUAAUAGAUGAGCCUACGUCGGAUUAGCUAGUUGGUGGGGUAAAGGCCUACCAAGGCGACGAUCUGUAGCGGGUCUGAGGGGAUGAUCCGCCACACUGGGACUGAGACACGGCCCAGACUCCUACGGGAGGCAGCAGUGGGGAAUAUUGGACAAUGGGGGAAACCCUGAUCCAGCCAUGCCGCGUGUGUGAAGAAGGCCUUAUGGUUGUAAAGCACUUUAAGCGAGGAGGAGGCUACUGAGACUAAUACUCUUGGAUAGUGGACGUUACUCGCAGAAUAAGCACCGGCUAACUCUGUGCCAGCAGCCGCAGUAA